rnacentral:rRNA from 1 species
ACCCGGUGAACUGAAACAUCUAAGUAGCCGGAGGAAGAGAAAGAAACAUCGAUUUCCAAAGUAGCGGCGAGCGAAAUGGAAAGAGGCCAAACCGUUGUGCGUGCACAGCGGGGUUCGGACCGCAUAAUUGAUUCAGUGAUUCUAGCAGAAAGGUUUGGGAAAGCCUGCCGGAGAGGGUGAAAGCCCCGUACGUGAAAGCAGAGCUGACUGAGCAGGAUCCAGAGUACCACGAGACACGAGAAACCUUGUGGGAAUGAGCGGGGACCACCCCGUAAGCCUAAAUACUACUUAGUGACCGAUAGCGCAUAGUACUGUGAAGGAAAGGUGAAAAGGACCCCGGGAGGGGAGUGAAAGAGAACCUGAAACCCUGUGUUUACAAUCUGUGGAAGGUCUUUAUAUGAUCAACCGCGUACUUUUUGUAGAACGGUCCGGCGAGUUACGUUUACUGGCGAGGUUAAGCACUUAAGGUGCGGAGCCGAAGGGAUACCAAGUGUUAACAGCGCGUUAAGUCAGUGUACGUAGACCCGAAACCGGGUGAUCUACCCAUGUCCAGGCUGAAGUUGCCGUAAAAGGCAAUGGAGGGCCGAACGCACAUCCGUUGAAAAGGGUGGCGAUGAGGUGUGGGUAGGGGAGAAAUUCCAAUCGAACCCGGAGAUAGCUGGUUCUCCUCGAAAUAGCUUUAGGGCUAGCCUCGUAUUAGUUUAGCGGAGGUAGAGCACUGAAUUUCCGCGGGGGCGUCAAAGCUUACCAAAGAAUAUCAAACUCCGAAUGCCAUAAAGGUGAUGCACGGGAGUCAGACUGCACGAGAUAAGUUGGGUGGUCAAAAGGGAAAGAGCCCAGACCUACAGCUAAGGUCCCAAAGUGCGUGUUAAGUGGAAAAGGAUGUGGGAUUUCGAAGACAACUAGGAUGUUGGCUCAGAAGCAGCCAUACAUUCAAAGAGUGCGUAAUAGCUCACUAGUCGAGAGGUCCUGCGCCGAAAAUGUCCGGGGCUAAAACACGACACCGAAGCUUAGGAAUGUAGUAAUACAUUGGUAGAGGAGCAUUGUUAGCGCAGCGAAGCUGUACCGAUAAGGAGCAGUGGAGGGAUAAGAAGAGAGAAUGCCGGAAUGAGUAGCGAGAGGAAGGUGGGAAUCCUUCCGGCCGAAUAUCUAAGGUUUCCAGAGUAAAGCUGAUCUGCUCUGGGUAAGUCGGGGCCUAAGGAGAGGUCGAAAGACGUAUCCGAUGGACAACAGGUUUAGAUUCCUGUACCGCAUAUAAACAGAACUGUGGGGACGCAUGUGGAAAGCAUAAGCCGGGAAUGGAAAGACCGGUACAAGCGAGGUAGGUGUGUGACAGGCAAAUCCGUCAUAUAAGCCGAAGACGUGAUGUGGAGCGAAAUUAAGUAGUGAAGUAUGUGAGCCAUGUGCCGAGAAAAGCCGCUAUUGUUUUAUAUGUGCCCGUACCGUAAACCGACACAGGUGGAUGAGGAGAGAAUCCUAAGGCCGACGGAAGAAGCAUUGUUAAGGAACUCGGCAAAAUGACCCCGUAACUUCGGGAGAAGGGGUGCCCACGGGAGUGGGCCGCAGAGAAUAGGCUCAAGCAACUGUUUAGCAAAAACACAGGUCUAUGCGAAACCGAAAGGUGAAGUAUAUGGGCUGACGCCUGCCCGGUGCUGGAAGGUUAAGAGGAGAGGUUAGCGCAAGCGAAGCUUUGAAUUUAAGCCCCAGUAAACGGCGGCCGUAACUAUAACGGUCCUAAGGUAGCGAAAUUCCUUGUCGGGU